rnacentral:rRNA from 1 species
CUUUUGAAUAUAAUUUAAGGUCUAGCCUGCCCAAUGAAUUUUAAAUGGCCGCGGUAUUUUGACCGUGCAAAGGUAGCAUAAUCAAUAGUUUUUUAAUUGAAAGCUGGAAUGAAAGGUUGAMUGAAAGAAUAACUGUCUCUUUUUAAUUUAUUUAGAAUUUUAUCUUUAAGUAAAAAAGCUUAAAUUUUAAUAGAAGACGAGAAGACCCUAUAGAGUUUAAUUUUUUUUUUUAUUAAGUUUUUUUGGUAUUUAUUUUUUUUUAAAAAAAAAUUAAUUUGAUUGGGGUGAUUGAAAAAUUUAAAAAACUUUUUUUUUAUUUUUACAUUAAUUUGUAAUUAUUUGAUCCUUUAGUUVNAGAUUAAAAGAUAAAAUUACCUUAGGGAUAACAGCGUAAUUUUUUUUGAGAGUUCUAAUCGAAAAAAAAGAUUGCGACCUCGAUGUUGGAUUAAAAUAAAAGBBBGGUGYAGAAGCUAAA